AACACAAACCCAUUUCAGCUCCGUCUUCAAAGAUUCUUCUUCCUAACUCUAUCUUUUUCUCAAUUGAAAUAUCAGACCCCAUAAGAAAAAGCCUAACUUCUAACUUGUUUCAAGUUAUCACGAGCAUCACUAAUUAACAAGUCGAACUAUUCUUCUGAUCAACAACUACAGAUUCAUCUUCCAAUUUCUGUUUAAAACCCCAUCGCUUGAGUUGGAAUUUCGAUUGCGAUUUAGGGUUUCGAUUGCUUCAGAAUAGAAUUGAUUCAACAUGGGUUUAACUAUGGGUUUGAGUAGGAAUUUUGGUUGGGAUUUUAUUAGGGUUUCAAUUGGAUUUGAUGAAAGAAAAAGAAGUGAUUAGUUCUUACUGCAGAUUUACAAUCUAAUUUGGGUUUCAAAAGGGUACAAUGGAGAUUCACAGAGAGAUUGAUGAUCUAAAACAAGAAUGAGAAGAGAUUGAAGAAUAUAACUCUAACAAGAAUAAGAAUAUAUAGGAAGAUUGGGUAUGAUUUAGAAAUGGGUUUGUGUUAUAUUCAAGAUGAUUGUUGCCAGGAUAAGAAGAUGGGUUAUGAAGCUUUGGUUGAUGGCAGUAAGAGAAUUCAGAGACAAAGAAGAAAGAAGAUUGUCGGUUGAAUCUGGUGGAACUUGAUUUGAAGAGAUGAAAUUUGCCGUAACUGCAAAGGGAGAGUGGAAUUGGGUUGAGUUCGUGGUAUUGAUUUGGCGCUGCUGACAUGAUUUGAAGAGAUAGAAGGGGUUAAUGUUGAGAACCCAGAAAGAAAUUGUUGUUUCAUCCAAGAAGAUGAAGUUGAUGCUGUGAGUCAAUGAUGAACGAAAUGGAGCAGAUUUGAGUUUAAAGGUUUCUGGUGUUUUAAUUGAGAAUUGGCUGGGAUAGGUCAAGAUUGUUGCAGUUCAUAUUUCCCAUGGCUAAUGGUGGUUGAACUUGAGAAGGGUUUACGCUGCUGACGACGCUGUUAACAGCGUUAAAUUAUCAAAUUUUAUUUAAUUUUUUUAAUAGUUGGUAAACAAAAGUCAAGAUUUUAAUGGUCAAUGAGAGUCAGCGUAUAGUUCAGGAACCAAGCCCUAACGUUGGACAAAUGUUAGACCAAAGGCUAGUAUUGGACAAAACCUGAGUACUAAAGACCAAUUAUCCCAAAUCAAAAACACGAUCCGGACGUUUUGGACCAUAGGAUCAGCUUUCCUGGUA